UACAGAGGGUGCAAGCGUUAAUCGGAAUUACUGGGCGUAAAGCGAGCGUAGGUGGCUUAAUAAGUCAGAUGUGAAAUCCCCGGGCUUAACCUGGGAACUGCAUCUGAUACUGUUGGGCUAGAGUAGGUGAGAGGGAGGUAGAAUUUCAGGUGUAGCGGUGAAAUGCGUAGAGAUCUGAAGGAAUACCGAUGGCGAAGGCAGCCUCCUGGCAUCAUACUGACACUGAGGUUCGAAAGCGUGGGUAGCAAACAGG
rnacentral:ncRNA from 3 species